AGAGAGAGACAUGCGCGCAUAUCAAUAAGCGGAGGAAAAGAAACUAACUAGGAUUCCCUCAGUAACGGCGAGUGAAGCGGGAAGAGCUCAAAUUUGAAAUCUUCAAGGUUCUACCUUGACGAAUUGUAGUUUAAAGAAGUGUUUUCUGUUGGAGUUUUGGUAAAAGUUCUUUGGAAUAGGACAUCAUAGAGGGUGAGAAUCCCGUAUUUGACCAUUAUUUCCAGCUUUGUGAUACACUUUCAAAGAGUCGGAUUGUUUGGGAUGCAGUCCAAAAUGGGUGGUAAAUUUCAUCUAAAGCUAAAUAUUGGCGAGAGACCGAUAGCGAACAAGUACCGUGAGGGAAAGAUGAAAAGAACUUUGAAAAGAGAGUUAAACAGUACGUGAAAUUGUCAAAAGGGAAGCGUUUGACACCAGUGUUGUUUUCUCGAAAAUCAAUUAAAAAAGGCAGGAUUUUGUGUUGUAUUGACUUUAUCAGCUUUCUGCACUCUUUUCUUGUCUUUUUUAAUGCACUUUCGUUUAACAAGUCAACAUCAAUUUCUUUUGUUGUAAAAGGGUCAUUGGAAGGUGGCUUUCUUUUCGGAGAAAGUGUUUAUAGCCUUUGGCCUCUGCAAUCGGAGAGAUUGAGGUCUGCAGCGUAGAUCCUUCGGGGUUAGAUACAUUUGUGCUAAGUUAUAGCCUUUCAUAGACAACUUAGUUGACUACUGAUCAGUCAUGUAGCUUACUCGCUUAUGCUAUUUUACCUACGCUUAGGAUGUUGAUGUGAUACUGCGAGCA
rnacentral:rRNA from 1 species